UUUGCGUACAGCGGAGGUGGCGGCGCGGGCAGGUCGGAGCUCGGAGCUGCUGCUUCUGGUUCUCUUGUGGCCGCCGUCGCUGUCCGGCUGCCUUGAGCUGCUGAACAGACGAGGCGUGGGCCACAGCACCUCAGAAGCCAACGCAGCUCGACGCAGGGCCCGGCGGGAGGGUGGGCGAUCGCGUGUCGGAGGGCGCCGCGCGGGCAGGCGGGCGGGCGCCUGAGGGGGAAAGAGGCGGGGGCGGCGGGUCAGCCGCGGGCCGGGCCGGCCGGGGGAUGUCGAUGCCUGACGCGAUGCCGCUGCCCGGGGUCGGGGAGGAGCUGAAGCAGGCCAAGGAGAUCGAGGACGCCGAGAAGUACUCCUUCAUGGCCACCGUCACCAAGGCGCCCAAGAAGCAAAUCCAGUUUGCUGAUGACAUGCAGGAGUUCACCAAAUUCCCCACCAAAACUGGCCGAAGAUCUUUGUCUCGCUCGAUUUCACAGUCCUCCACUGACAGCUACAGUUCAGCUGCAUCCUACACAGAUAGCUCUGAUGAUGAGGUUUCUCCCCGAGAGAAGCAGCAAACCAACUCCAAGGGCAGCAGCAAUUUCUGUGUGAAGAACAUCAAGCAGGCCGAAUUUGGACGCCGGGAGAUUGAGAUUGCAGAGCAAGACAUGUCUGCUCUGAUUUCACUCAGGAAACGUGCUCAGGGGGAGAAGCCCUUGGCUGGUGCUAAAAUAGUGGGCUGUACACACAUCACAGCCCAGACAGCGGUGUUGAUUGAGACACUCUGUGCUCUGGGGGCUCAGUGCCGCUGGUCUGCUUGUAACAUCUACUCAACUCAGAAUGAAGUAGCUGCAGCACUGGCUGAAGCUGGAGUUGCAGUGUUCGCUUGGAAGGGCGAGUCAGAAGAUGACUUCUGGUGGUGUAUUGACCGCUGUGUGAACAUGGAUGGGUGGCAGGCCAACAUGAUCCUGGAUGAUGGGGGAGACUUAACCCACUGGGUUUAUAAGAAGUAUCCAAACGUGUUUAAGAAGAUCCGAGGCAUUGUGGAAGAGAGCGUGACUGGUGUUCACAGGCUAUAUCAGCUCUCCAAAGCUGGGAAGCUCUGUGUUCCGGCCAUGAACGUCAAUGAUUCUGUUACCAAACAGAAGUUUGAUAACUUGUACUGCUGCCGAGAAUCCAUUUUGGAUGGCCUGAAGAGGACCACAGAUGUGAUGUUUGGUGGGAAACAAGUGGUGGUGUGUGGCUAUGGUGAGGUAGGCAAGGGCUGCUGUGCUGCUCUCAAAGCUCUUGGAGCAAUUGUCUACAUUACCGAAAUCGACCCCAUCUGUGCUCUGCAGGCUUGCAUGGAUGGGUUCAGGGUGGUAAAGCUAAAUGAAGUCAUCCGGCAAGUUGAUGUCGUAAUAACUUGCACAGGAAAUAAGAAUGUAGUGACACGGGAGCACUUGGAUCGCAUGAAAAACAGUUGUAUCGUAUGCAAUAUGGGCCAUUCCAAUACGGAAAUCGAUGUGACCAGCCUCCGCACUCCAGAGCUGACGUGGGAGCGAGUACGUUCUCAGGUGGACCAUGUCAUCUGGCCAGAUGGCAAACGAGUUGUCCUCCUGGCAGAGACUCAGAUGGAUUUGCAGAAAAUAGGAAAAAGCCUAGAGUCCUGAUCUGGAACUGUAAUUCUUCCUCUUCCAGCUGAGUCUAGAGGGGUGUAAAGUCUUCUUCCGCUUUGGCUUGACUUGUAUGCCAUUGGAAUCUGAGACAGAGCUCAUCCCAGGGCUCUCUCUUACCUUUCCAGGGUCGUCUACUCAAUUUGAGCUGCUCCACAGUUCCCACCUUUGUUCUGUCCAUCACAGCCACAACACAGGCUUUGGCACUGAUAGAACUCUAUAAUGCACCUGAGGGACGAUACAAGCAGGAUGUAUACUUGCUUCCUAAGAAAAUGGAUGAAUACGUUGCCAGCUUGCAUCUGCCAUCAUUUGAUGCCCACCUUACAGAGCUGACAGAUGACCAAGCAAAAUAUCUGGGACUCAACAAAAAUGGGCCAUUCAAACCUAAUUAUUACAGAUACUAAUGGACCAUAUUACCAAGGACCAGUCCACAUGACCCACACACUCUAAAAGAAAUAUUUUUUAAGAUAACUUUUAUUUUCUUCUUAUUCCUUUCCUCUUGAUUUCUUUCCUAUAAUUUCAUUCUUGUUUUUUCAUCUCAUUAUCCAAGUUCUGCAGACCACACAGGAACUUGCUUCAUGGCUCUUUAGAUGAAAUAGAAGUUCAGGGUUCCUCACCCUAGUCACUAAAGAAGGAUUUUACUCUCCCAUCCCAGAAAGGUGAUUCUUUCUUUACCAUUUCUGGGGACUUUAGUCUUAAUUAGGUACCUUAUUAACAGGAAAUGCUAAGGUACCUUCUCUGUGGAACAAUCUGCAAUGUCUAAAUCGCCUUAAAAGAGCCCAUUUCUUAGCUGCUGAAAUCAGUGCUCUUUCACUUCUUCAGAGAAGCAGGGAUGGUACCUACCCGGCAGGUAGGUUAGGUGUAGGUGGUGCAUGUUAAUUUCCCUUAGAAGUUCCAAGCCCUGUUUCCUGUGUGAAGGUGGUAUGUCUGGUUCAGAGAUGUGUAUAAUGAGCGUUGCUUGUUAAGACCAGGAGGCCCACUUGGAUUUAUAGUACAGCCCUUCCUCUACUCCCACCAGACUUUCUCAUUUUUCUAGUUUUUAACUAGACUCUAUUGAGUUUAAUUUUGUCCUCUAGGAUUUAUUUCUGUUGUCCAAAAAAAAAAAACACAGAAAAAUUAAGGAGAAUUUUUAGUGUUAAUGCUGAGGAACUACUUGAGUGGUUAGUUGUUACCAAUUUCUCUUUCGAACCUUUGGAGCUAAGGGUGCUGAGUCUAGAGAAGUGCUAGUCUCAAGCCCUUUUAAGUCCCUCUGUUUCUAGCCUAUAGUUUAUAGCAUCAGUGAACUGGAGCCAUAACAGCAAAUUCUAUCAGCUCUGUCCCAUACAGCUUGUGCUGAAGGCAAAUUUCUUGAGCCAUUGCUCAGUAUAAAGCACUGAGUUCUAUCUUUAGGAUUUAUCUUUAAGAGCAAAUUUCUGGUCAGCUGUGCUUCUGCAACCUAAAAUAUUUAAAGGGAGGUAGGUGUGGGCAGGAGGAGAAAUGAUAAAUUGGGCCAGGGCAAGAAAUAUCUAGCUGCAUAUAAUUUGUCUGGGAUUAUACACCCUAUAUAAUGUUAGUUUUACAGAAGUAAUGCGACUUUUGAUUGCUACAUACCACAAAAAGUUUAUGAACUGAAAUCUUAAAGGGCAGUUGAUGUGGGAAGAAAGUAGUCAGUACAUCCUGGCUCAUGCUCUGAAAGAAUCUCCAGAGAGGCUCUCUCAAAGAUCAGGGAGAUAUAUUCCCAUGCCAUGCACCCUGCUUCCCAGCAUUUCUGCAUGGUCAAAUGAGCUUUAUGCUCAUGAGCUUUAAGUUUAUAAUUAUCCAGGAUUUUAAAUCCUCAACUUGUUCUAGCUUGUGAUCCUUCAAAGUUGGGUCAUACAUUAGUGCUAGAUACUAGAAAUAUUCACUUUUCCACUGAUCAGAGAGACAGACAUUAAAAACAAAAAUAGAAGAAAGGAAAGCUUUCACCCUGCAGCUUCUUAGCAGGGGACAAUUGUCUUGCCAAAACUUUUUUCCCUUUUCUCUCCCAUUUUCUCCCACCCAGUCCCUUCUCACCCCUUGCCAGUGUGACCAUGCUUGCUUCUCUGUAGAUGUUAACAGUUAAGGCCCAUUUUCCUCAGGCACUUAACCAGCCAAUCAGAACACCACAUCUGUUAGGGGAGGUAACCUGGCCAACAGUGUGUCCAUCACAUCAGCCCUGCUGGAGGGAAGGGACCCACAUUCACCUGCCCUCUGGCCUGCCCCCGAUCCCAUAUCUAUUACUGUGUCCAUAGGAAUAAUAGGUAAGGGCUGUGUCUCUGUCAAGCCAUGUAACAAAGGACACUGUAAAAAAAAAAAAAAGUCUGGCAUCAGAGGGAGCAUGUGGAGAGCAACUUGGGAGGAACAAGUUCAUUUUGUAUUGAAUGAUUUUUAAUGAAUGCAAUAUUAAUCCUUGCAGAUGAGCAAUAAUCAUUAAAAUCGAUUAAAAUGAUAAGACCUUA